CCCGCACAAGCGGUGGAGCAUGUGGUUUAAUUCGAUGAUACGCGAGGAACCUUACCUGGGCUCAAAUGUAUGUUGACGUAUUCUGAAAGGGAUACUUCUUCGGACAAUAUACAAGGUGCUGCAUGGUUGUCGUCAGCUCGUGCCGUGAGGUGUCGGGUUAAGUCCCAUAACGAGCGCAACCCCUAUCAUUAGUUGCCAUCAGGUCAAGCUGGGGACUCUAAUGAAACUGCCUACGCAAGUAGUGAGGAAGGUGGGGAUGACGUCAAAUCAGCACGGCCCUUACGUCCAGGGCUACACACGUACUACAAUGGCCGAUACAGAGGGCAGCUACCUGGUGACAGGAUGCAAAUCUCCAAAGUCGGUCUCAGUUCGGAUCGGAGUCUGCAACCCGACUCCGUGAAGUUGGAUUCGCUAGUAAUCGCGCAUCAGCCAUGGCGCGGUGAAUACGUUCCCGGGCCUU
rnacentral:rRNA from 1 species